rnacentral:rRNA from 1 species
AGAGUUUGAUCCUGGCUCAGGAUGAACGCUGGCGGCGUGCUUAACACAUGCAAGUCGAACGGUGAAGCCAAGCUUGCUUGGUGGAUCAGUGGCGAACGGGUGAGUAACACGUGAGCAACCUGCCCUGAACUCUGGGAUAAGCGCUGGAAACGGCGUCUAAUACUGGAUACGAGACGUGGCCGCAUGGUCAACGUUUGGAAAGAUUUUUUGGUUCAGGAUGGGCUCGCGGCCUAUCAGCUUGUUGGUGAGGUAAUGGCUCACCAAGGCGUCGACGGGUAGCCGGCCUGAGAGGGUGACCGGCCACACUGGGACUGAGACACGGCCCAGACUCCUACGGGAGGCAGCAGUGGGGAAUAUUGCACAAUGGGCGAAAGCCUGAUGCAGCAACGCCGCGUGAGGGAUGACAGCCUUCGGGUUGUAAACCUCUUUUAGCAAGGAAGAAGCGAAAGUGACGGUACUUGCAGAAAAAGCACCGGCUAACUACGUG